CAGCAUUUCUAUUGGAAGCCUUCAUUUUAAGGCUGUGUAACUCAACUCAGCUGAAAUAUGGUAUAUAAAGUUUCAGUGUCAUUGCCAUUUUUUCUGCAUUCUGAAUCACAAAACCCCACUUUUUUCAUAUGUGGACAUUAAUCUAAAGCAGAAGUCAGUAAUUGCCAAUGCUAUCAAAUUUUAUUCCAUCUGAAUAAGAUGAUAUUUCCUAAGAAAUCAAGGCCACCAACACUAAGGAGCAUGGAUAAAUAGAUUUUUGUGAUUCUGCUCGAUAUCAGUGUUUUGGUCAAAUAUAAUGUGUAGGUGGAUCCUGUAAUACCGGCUUUCAAGUCAUUUGGAGGAAAAUAAUUAUGCCUGGGGCACUGGAAAAAUUUCAAUUUUGAGCUAGAGAUGUGAAAGUAUUAACAAUCCCGCCUACUGAGAUGAACUAUCUACUGUGACAUUUAAAACUAGCCUAUUCAUUUCUAUUCUUUAUGGGCUAGAUGUCUAUUUCAGGAAUUUAUGGCAAACAUCUGAUCCAAAAGUAGUUAUGUUCUUGACAACAAAAAGUGAUAAAGAAGCUGUAGAGAGCAAUGAAAAUUGAUGGGGAUAGAGAGUGAUAAACAGCAAAAGAGACCCAUUAGGGGCCGAAUGAUUGGUAAAGCCUGAGGAGAAGGACUCAGAGGUAAAUUGGAGUGCAGGUUGUUCAUUUCACAGGUGCAAUCAGCCAGUUCUUACCCACUAUUUCUGGUCUGUUUGAAAUUGAAAUCUGAAGGCAACUUAUUAGAGUUUGGGUCUGACGUCAUUCUGCACUUGUGAGAGGAAAAGAUGGACCGUGACUCCUGUGUUUAGGGAACUCAAUGGAAUAAAAUCAGCAAGUUUCUAGGUCUCUCCCAGAGGUGGCAUAUUCUCUCCUUAAACUCAGAGGAGCGGGAAUUUAAUCACCAUUGAUUCCAUUUGUAGAUACUAAUUAUGAAGAUAUAUGAGAAAGCUGCAUGUUUAUUAAACCAGUGAAGAGAUUCUCAGGUUCAAGGAUGAAGAAAGAUACUCUGAAUGGAAAAGGAGGGAAAAAAAGGAAGACAACAUGGCUGAACUAUUUUGAUACAAUCAUGAGUCAAAAAAAAAAAAAAAGGAGAUACAAUGAUGGGUGCUCAAGAUAAGUGUUUUGGGAGAAGAUUCAUAACUAAUAGAUUUUUUUUUCCUACUGAAAUACUGUGAUCAUGGUAUGUGGUGCUGUUCCUUUACCACACAUGUUUUCAAUAAAAUGACAAGAGCAUUUAUUUGGUAAAUGGAC
rnacentral:lncRNA from 1 species